GACGAACCGUGCGAACGUUGUUCGGAAUCACUGGGCUUAAAGGGCGCGUAGGCGGGCAUUCAAGUCGGUGGUGAAAUCCUCCAGCUUAACUGGAGAAGAGCUGUCGAUACUGGAUGUCUCGAGGGGUGCAGGGGUCUGCGGAACUUCGGGUGGAGCGGUGAAAUGCGCAGAUAUCAGGAAGAACACCCGUGGCGAAGGCGGCUCUCUGGGACGGUACUGACACUGAGGCGCGAAAGCGUGGGGAGCGAACAGG
rnacentral:rRNA from 1 species